rnacentral:lncRNA from 1 species
CAACAGGAGGAACUUCAGAGGAAUUCUUCUCGAGGCUGCCAGGUGAGCACUGCAGAGCUCAGUGCUGUGCCAGGUGCUCCCGAGGGGAGACUGUGCUACGCAGGGAGAGCCAGGCUGGACUGUGAAUAAUGGUGACCCAUUCAAACAAAGGAAGACCCACGACAAACACCAAGAGUUGGCCUAGGGUAUGGCUAUGGACAUCACCAUGCCCUGAGCACUGCAUGAUCCCAUGCAUCUCGACUAGACUAGACUUGACUACAUUCAAUUUGACGACCAGCUUUUUAAUGUGAUUACUGCUGUUUCUGUUUUCCGUCAUGCAUGGAAAUAUCACAACAGUUAGGAGUGCAGUGAGGAUCACAGUACGCACGAACCUUGUUGGUUAAAUCAAAGAAAACUUCACCUCAGCAGGGAAAGAGGAUGAGAUCUAAUUUUAGCUCAUCUGAUCAUUUAGCCCAUUUCAAGACACGUAAGGGAGACUCUGUAGAAUCCCUUGGACCAAACCUCCUAGAGCAUUAAUGCACAUUUCUUGAUGUCUUCCUGCCACUCCUGCACACGUUGAAGGCUGAGCUUGCUUGCUUGCUGCAGCUCUAUGCAGAAGCACGCAGCCCUGGUAACAUCAGAAGUGCAAAGACACGUUCAUUCAUGGCCAUUCAAAAGUGUUUUCAUCAGAUCCACGGAAAGCUUUACACUUUAUUUUCUCCAAAACAACAUAGCCAGGUCUCUAUGUGGAAGCAAGCUUUACUCUGAUCUUGGUGGUGCUCUUCACUCAUGGUUCUACAAAAGAGAGGAGGAGCUGCUUGUAUAUGCAUGGUUUAUACCCUUCUCCACUGUAUUGUCCUUCAGACACAUUAGCAUUCAAUUUAUUGAUGUGCUAUGUAACGUAACAUUAGCUUCAGGCAUUAUCUGUCCUCAUUUUAUUUGAACAGCCAACCUGAUCUUUAUAUGUUAUUUCCUGAACUAAAGGCUCUGGCCUCUUUGCUGUUAUAUUUGUAUGUGUAUUGCAAUUUGCUCUUGAAAGAUAAAGCCAUUAACCCAAGUCCUGAUGAUUUCAUGAUUAACAUUGAAGAACUAUGGGCAAUUCAUAACAGCAC